AGUGAACGCUGGCGGUAGGCCUAACACAUGCAAGUCGAACGGCAGCACAGUAAGAGCUUGCUCUUACGGGUGGCGAGUGGCGGACGGGUGAGGAAUACAUCGGAAUCUACUUUUUCGUGGGGGAUAACGUAGGGAAACUUACGCUAAUACCGCAUACGACCUACGGGUGAAAGCAGGGGAUCUUCGGACCUUGCGCGAUUGAAUGAGCCGAUGUCGGAUUAGCUAGUUGGCGGGGUAAAGGCCCACCAAGGAGACGAUCCGUAGCUGGUCUGAGAGGAUGAUCAGCCACACUGGAACUGAGACACGGUCCAGACUCCUACGGGAGGCAGCAGUGGGGAAUAUUGGACAAUGGGCGCAAGCCUGAUCCAGCCAUACCGCGUGGGUGAAGAAGGCCUUCGGGUUGUAAAGCCCUUUUGUUGGGAAAGAAAAUCAGCAGGUUAAUACCCCGCUGUUCUGACGGUACCCAAAGAAUAAGCACCGGCUAACUUCGUG
rnacentral:rRNA from 1 species